rnacentral:lncRNA from 1 species
AGUGAUUGAUGCAAAUUUUGUUAAUGUAAUUUAAGCCCCAUUUAUUUAGCAUUGAUCAAUAAUAAACCCCUGUUUAAGUUAUUAACAUAUUUAAUCGAUACUAGAUUGUGAUAUUCAUUAGCAUUUGAGAAGAUAGGUUUGCAAUUCCCCUCAAGCACUCAUGUUCUCAAUCAGAACUAAUCCCCUCACGCAUGAAGUAAUGAACAUAGACAGUUUUAAAUUUUUUGAAGAUGUCUAUCAACUUCUGACAGUGUGUGAGCUACCCAAAAC